GACGAACGCUGGCGGCGUGCUUAACACAUGCAAGUCGAACGCUGAUGGCCCAGCUUGCUGGGUUGGAUGAGUGGCGAACGGGUGAGUAACACGUGAGUAACCUGCCCUCUUCUUUGGGAUAACGGUCGGAAACGGCUGCUAAUACCGGGUAUUCACUGUCCUUCGCAUGGGGGGUGGUGGAAAGGUUUUUUUCUGGUGGGGGAUGGGCUCGCGGCCUAUCAGCUUGUUGGUGGGGUGAUGGCUUACCAAGGCUUUGACGGGUAACCGGCCUGAGAGGGUGACCGGUCACAUUGGGACUGAGAUACGGCCCAGACUCCUACGGGAGGCAGCAGUGGGGAAUAUUGCACAAUGGGCGAAAGCCUGAUGCAGCAACGCCGCGUGAGGGAUGGAGGCCUUCGGGUUGUAAACCUCUUUCGCUCAUGGUCAAGCCGCAGCUUUGGGUUGUGGUGAGGGUAGUGGGUAAAGAAGCACCGGCUAACUACGUGCCAGCAGCCGCGGUAAUACGUAGGGUGCGAGCGUUGUCCGGAAUUAUUGGGCGUAAAGGGCUUGUAGGCGGUUUGUCGCGUCUGCCGUGAAAUCCUCUGGCUUAACUGGGGGCGUGCGGUGGGUACGGGCAGGCUUGAGUGCGGUAGGGGAGACUGGAACUCCUGGUGUAGCGGUGGAAUGCGCAGAUAUCAGGAAGAACACCGGUGGCGAAGGCGGGUCUCUGGGCCGUUACUGACGCUGAGGAGCGAAAGCGUGGGGAGCGAACAGG
rnacentral:rRNA from 1 species